rnacentral:rRNA from 1 species
GACGAACGCUGGCGGCGUGCUUAACACAUGCAAGUCGAACGGAAAGGCCCUGCUUUUGUGGGGUGCUCGAGUGGCGAACGGGUGAGUAACACGUGAGUAACCUGCCCUUGACUUUGGGAUAACUUCAGGAAACUGGGGCUAUUCCGGGGAAGGAGUCCUUGCUGUUUGGGGGGGGUGGGAAAGUUUAGGCGGUUGGGUGUGGACUGGCGGCUUCAAAGCUUGUUGGUGGGGUAGUGGCUUACCAAGGCUUAGCCGGGUAGCGGGCCUGGGAGGGUGGCCGGCCACGUUGGGUCGGAGAUACGGCCCAGACUCCUACGGUAGGCAGCGGUGGGGAAGAUUGCCCAAUGGGCGGAAGCCUGAUGCAGCGACGCCGCGUGCGGGAUAACGGCCUUCUGGUUGUAAACCGCUUUCGCCUGUGACGAAGCGUGAGUGACGGUAAUGGGUAAAGAAGCACCGGCUAACUACGUG